rnacentral:rRNA from 1 species
UUACGGAAGGCAGCAGUGGGGAAUUUUCCGCAAUGGGCGAAAGCCUGACGGAGCGACGCCGCGUGAAGGAUGAAGGUUUUCGGACUGUAAACUUCUUUUAUAUGGGAAGAUUAUGACGGUACCAUAUGAAUAAGCACCGGCUAACUACGUGCCAGCAGCCGCGGUAAUACGUAGGGUGCAAGCGUUAUCCGGAAUUACUGGGCGUAAGAGUGCGUAGGCGGCUUUUUAAGUUAGAUGUUAAAUCUGCGGGCUUAACUCGUAGGCUGCAUCUAAUACUGGGAGGCUUGAGAGUGGAAGAGGCAGACGGAAUUUCCGGUGGAGCGGUAAAAUGCGUAGAUAUCGGAAAGAACACCAAUGGCGAAGGCAGUCUGCUGGGCCAUUUCUGACGCUGAGGCACGAAAGCGUGGGGAGCGAUCGGGAUUAGAUACCCGGGUAGUCCA